rnacentral:rRNA from 1 species
CCCUACGGGAGGCAGCAGUGAGGAAUAUUGGUCAAUGGACGAGAGUCUGAACCAGCCAAGUAGCGUGAAGGAUGACUGCCCUAUGGGUUGUAAACUUCUUUUAUAUGGGAAUAAAGUGGGCCACGUGUGGCUUUUUGUAUGUACCAUACGAAUAAGGAUCGGCUAACUCCGUGCCAGCAGCCGCGGUAAUACGGAGGAUCCGAGCGUUAUCCGGAUUUAUUGGGUUUAAAGGGAGCGUAGGCGGAUUAUUAAGUCAGUUGUGAAAGUUUGCGGCUCAACCGUAAAAUUGCAGUUGAUACUGGUAG